UACGUAGGGGGGCGAGCGUUGUCCGGAGUUACUGGGCGUAAAGCGCACGCAGGCGGUCUGCUAAGUUUGGAGUGACAGUUGGUGGCUCAACCACCAAAGUGCUUUGAAAACUGACAGACUUGAGGGCUUCAGAGGGACACGGAAUUCCGGGUGGAGUGGUGAAAUGCGUAGAGAUCCGGAGGAACACCGAAGGCGAAGGCAGUGUCCUGGGGAGUACCUGACGCUCAGGUGCGAAAGCUAGGGGAGCGAACGGG
rnacentral:rRNA from 1 species